AUAUGUAAACUUAACCUACUCAGUUGUACUUGACUAAUGCAAUAAUGACAGGUCCACCUGUUUAAGUAUAUUGUAAAACAUUUGAACAUAACAACAUUUGGACAUAACAUACACACAUUGUUUCAGCCUGCAUCAAUUUAGUUGUAUAGCUGCAUUGCUGGUUAACACCUCUGGGCAGAUUCUCCAUGUUCUUCUUUUAUGUGUAGCUGCUCACCUUAAACAGAUACAGUACAUUGAAGUAAUGUUAAAACAAAUUAAGCCCUAUAAUAUUGUUUAUGUUUACAAUAAUUGGUAAAAAGUUUGACGGAUAAAAUGGUUCUUAGCAUUCUCUAUAUAAGCCCCUCUGUCUGUUAACUUUUGUUUGAGCCUGUCUAGAUCUUUUAUCAGUCUAGAAAGAUGUUGGAGAAAAGACAUCAUCCUCUUCUAUAAUCUCCAUCUGUAAUUGGACUAACAACUGGACCAGUGAAUGCAGGCAACUUACUCUCCAUUCGACCUUGCAGGUCACACCAUGGUCUCAAGAGGGAAAAUGAGUGCUCUAUGGAUUGAACAGAAAAGGUUAAUCAAAACUCCAACCAUCUGUAUGAGGGUCUGGAUGGAUAAAGGAUGCCCACUGGAGCUGGAAAUGAUGGAUCAGGUGGAUCCACACUUGAACCAUCUGUAUGAUGAUCUGCACCCACUGGAUCUGUAAAUGGUGGUGCAGGUUUCUGAAUUGAUGUCAGAUGCAAAGCAGAAGCUUAUUUUCUGCCAGUUUGGCUUCAUUGUGGAAAAAUGCUUGAAACUAAAAUGCAGAAUUCUGGCCUGGUGUUUGGUCCCCCUUUCUCUGGCUUGUGUCUCCAUCAUCAUUACACUCUUGUCAGUGUAAUAGUAUCGUCGUCUGCGUACCAGGACUUUGUUACUCAGCUGUCCCUUCUCCUUCAAGCU